AGAGUGGCGCACGGGUGCGUAACGCGUGAGCAACCUACCUCUAUCAGGGGGAUAGCCUCUCGAAAGAGAGAUUAACACCGCAUAAUAUCAACAGUUCGCAUGUUCAGUUGAUUAAAUAUUUAUAGGAUAGAGAUGGGCUCGCGUGACAUUAGCUAGUUGGUAGGGUAACGGCUUACCAAGGCGACGAUGUCUAGGGGCUCUGAGAGGAGAAUCCCCCACACUGGUACUGAGACACGGACCAGACUCCUACGGGAGGCAGCAGUAAGGAAUAUUGGUCAAUGGGCGGAAGCCUGAACCAGCCAUGCCGCGUGCAGGAUGACUGCCCUAUGGGUUGUAAACUGCUUUUGUCCAGGAAUAAACCUAGAUACGUGUAUCUAGCUGAAUGUACUGGAAGAAUAAGGAUCGGCUAACUCCGUGCCAGCAGCCGCGGUAAUACGGAGGAUCCGAGCGUUAUCCGGAUUUAUUGGGUUUAAAGGGUGCGUAGGCGGCCUAUUAAGUCAGGGGUGAAAUACGGUGGCUCAACCAUCGCAGUGCCUUUGAUACUGAUGGGCUUGAAUCCAUUUGAAGUGGGCGGAAUAAGACAAG
rnacentral:rRNA from 1 species